rnacentral:rRNA from 1 species
AUUGAACGCUGGCGGCAGGCCUAACACAUGCAAGUCGAACGAGUGGCGGACGGGUGAGUAAUGUCUGGGAAACUGCCCGAUGGAGGGGGAUAACUACUGGAAACGGUGGCUAAUACCGCAUACCAUCGGAUGUGCCCAGAUGGGAUUAGCUAGUAGGUGGGGUAACGGCUCACCUAGGCGACGAUCCCUAGCUGGUCUGAGAGGAUGACCAGCCACACUGGAACUGGGACACGGCCCAGAUCCCUAGGGGAGGCAGAGUUGGGGAAUAUUGAACAAUGGGCGCAAGCCUGAUGCAGCAAGGCCGGGUGUAUGAAGAAGGCCUUGGGGUGGAAAAGUACUUUAAGCGAGGAGGGGUUACUCGCAGAAGAAGCACCGGCUAACCCCGUGCAAGCAGCCGCGUAAUAC